rnacentral:rRNA from 1 species
AUUGAACGCUGGCGGCAUGCCUUACACAUGCAAGUCGAACGGCCGCACGGGGCAACCUGGCGGCGAGUGGCGGACGGGGGCGUAAUAUUUAGGCACGUAUCCACAAGUGGGGGGUAACGGAGAGAAAGGUAAGAUAAUACCGCAUACGAUCUAAGGAUGAGAACAGGGGACCGCAAUGGCUUAUGCUGUUGUUGCGGCCGAUAUCUGAUUAGCUAGUUGGUGAGGUAAAGGCUCACCAAGGCGACGAUCAGUAGCUGGUCUGAGAGGAUGACCAGCCACACUGGAACUGAGACACGGUCCAGACUCCUACGGGAGGCAGCAGUGGGGAAUUUUGGACAAUGGGCGCAAGCCUGACCCAGCAAUGCCGCGUGAGUGAAGAAGGCCUUCGGGUUGUAAAGCUCUUUUGUCAGGGAAGAAACGGUGGAGGCUAAUAUCCUCAGGUAAUGACGGUACCUGAAGAAUAAGCACCGGCUAACUACGUG